rnacentral:rRNA from 1 species
UGGGGAAUAUUGGACAAUGGGGGCAACCCUGAUCCAGCGAUGCCGCGUGAGUGAAGAAGGCCUUCGGGUCAUAAAGCUCUUUAGGUUGGGAAGAAGUGCCUUGGAGAAAUACUCUUGGGUGUUGACGGUACCGACAGAAUAAGCACCGGCAAACUCUGUGCCAGCAGCCGCGGUAAUACAGAGGGUGCGAGCGUUAAUCGGAGUUACUGGGCGUAAAGGGCGCGUAGGCGGUACUAUGAGUGUGAUGUGAAAGCCCCGGGCUUAACCUGGGAAGUGCAUCGCAAACGAUAGAACUGGAGUAGAUGAGAGGGUGGCGGAAUUUCCGGUGUAGCGGUGAAAUGCGUAGAGAUCGGAAGGAACGUCAAUGGCGAAGGCAGCCACCUGGCAUCAUACUGACGCUGAGGCGCGAAAGCGUGGGUAGCGAACAG